UUGAGCCCUUUGAAAACUGGAACCAUAUCUCACAUAAUUCCAUGUAGCACAGGGCCUGGCACAUGAUCAUCUUCAAUGUUCAACAUGACUUUUAGCGGGGUAAAAAAUGUCCACUGAAAUUUGGGAAGUGAUCCACUGUGCUUGCUUUCUCAGUGCUAACAAUGAGGGAAGAACACAGAAGAAUACAUAGAUGAAC